GACGAACGCUGGCGGCGUGCCUAAUACAUGCAAGUAGAACGCUGAAGCGAGGAGCUUGCUCUUCUUGGAUGAGUUGCGAACGGGUGAGUAACGCGUAGGUAACCUGCCUUGUAGCGGGGGAUAACUAUUGGAAACGAUAGCUAAUACCGCAUAACAAUGGAUGACACAUGUCAUUUAUUUGAAAGGGGCAAUUGCUCCACUACAAGAUGGACCUGCGUUGUAUUAGCUAGCAGGUGAGGUAAUGGCUCACCUAGGCGACGAUACAUAGCCGACCUGAGAGGGUGAUCGGCCACACUGGGACUGGGACACGGCCCAGACUCCUACGGGAGGCAGCAGUAGGGAAUCUUCGGCAAUGGGGGCAACCCUGACCGAGCAACGCCGCGUGAGUGAAGAAGGUUUUCGGAUCGUAAAGCUCUGUUGUAAGUCAAGAACGGGUGUGAGAGUGGAAAGUUCACACUGUGACGGUAGCUUACCAGAAAGGGACGGCUAACUACGUG
rnacentral:rRNA from 1 species